ensembl:miRNA
GGAUGCACGCCCAGCGCCAGAUCUUGGAUUGUAAGACCGCUCUCUGCCGAAGGAACCAGGGCCCCUCGAAGGGAUGGCUGACUCCAGGCCGGGGCUGGGAGAGCCCAAGGUGAGC